rnacentral:lncRNA from 1 species
GUGGGUAAGGAAUAUAUACCCUUCAUUAAGGGCUAUUCUGGGCUGUACCAGGUCUGUCUUUUAGGCCACUGUCCCAGUAAGGCUGACCUGUGACCAUGUAAAAUGGUCCUGUGGGUUUUUACGUUAGGUCCUUAAAAUUUUAUUCUGCUUCAGUCCGAGGCCAGGUUCAGUCUGACAUGGUAUAGAUAUGUGUCCUUGCCUGUCCUUUCCUACUAAGACAUCCUGUAUACAGGAACU